GAUGAACGCUGGCGGCGUGCUUAACACAUGCAAGUCGAACGUGAGAAUAGCAAUAUUUGAAAGUGGCAAACGGGUGAGUAACACGUGGGAACCUGCCUCGAAGUGGGGGAUAACGAUUGGAAACGGUCGCUAAUACCGCACGGUUCUGCUCUGAUGGGAAUGGAGCAGAUAAAGAUUUAUCGCUUUGAGAGGGGCCCGCAGCCGAUUAGCUAGUUGGUAAGGUAAAGGCUUACCAAGGCGAUUAUCGGUAGCUGGUCUGAGAGGACGAUCAGCCACACGGGAACUGAGACACGGUCCCGACUCCUACGGGGGGGCAGCAGUGAGGAAUAUUGGGCAAUGGGCGAAAGCCUGACCCAGCAACGCCGCGUGGAGGAUGAAGGCUUUAGGGUUGUAAACUCCUUUUGUGGGGAAAGAAUGGAUGGUACCCCAAGAAUAAGUCACGGCUAACUACGUGCCAGCAGCCGCGGUAAGGCACGACUGU
rnacentral:rRNA from 1 species